CCUACGGGAGGCUGCAGUGAGGAAUAUUGGUCAAUGGACGCAAGUCUGAACCAGCCAAGCCGCGUGCAGGAAGACGGCCCUAUGAGUUGUAAACUGCUUUUGUACGGGGGUAAACGCCGAUACGCGUAUCUGUCUGAAAGUACCGUACGAAUAAGGAUCGGCUAAAUCCGUGCCAGCAGCCGCGGUAAUACGGAGGACCCAAGCGUUAUCCGGAUUUAUUGGGGUUAAAGGGUGCGUAGGCGGUCGGAUAAGUUAGAGGUGAAAUCCCGAGGCUCAACUUCGGAAUUGCCUCUGAUACUGUACGGCUAGAGAGUAGUAGCGGUAGGCGGAAUGUAUGGUGUAGCGGUGAAAUGCUUAGAGAUCA
rnacentral:rRNA from 1 species